rnacentral:rRNA from 1 species
CUUUAAAUGUUAUACAACUUUCAACAACGGAUCUCUUGGCUCUCGCAUCGAUGAAGAACGCAGCGAAAUGCGAUAACUAAUGUGAAUUGCAGAAUUCAGUGAAUCAUCGAGUCUUUGAACGCACCUUGCGCCCUUUGGUAUUCCAAAGGGCAUGCCUGUUUGAGUGUCAUUAAAUUCUCAACCUUGUCUUGUUUUAUUACAAGUGCGAUGGAUUGGAUUAUGGGGGCUUGCUGGUCUCUAACGAGAUCAGCUCCUCUGAAAUGCAUUAGCAGAAACCGUUUGACUUUGGCUGCUAGGCUGUGAUAAUAUCUACGCCUUGGUAGUUGGGUUGGAAUACAAAGUGUUAGAGUGAUAAGGAACUAUUACUCAGGCUUUCGAGUCUGGCUUAGGAUCGGUUUGGAGGGUUGCUUAACGGCUCCUUCUGCUUUCUCCCUUUGUUGGAGAUACUUGUCUGAUUGUAAGAGAGGAAUUGCGUUUA